rnacentral:rRNA from 1 species
UGACCUCGGAUCAGACGUGAAUACCCGCUGAACUUAAGCAUAUCACUAAGCGGAGGAAAAGAAACUAACAAGGAUUCCCUCAGUAACCGCGAGUGAACAGGGAUCAGCCCAGCACCGAAGCCUGUGGUCAUUUGGCCAUUAGGCAAUGUGGUGUUUAGGUCGUUCCGCAGAGACACUGCUCCUCUCUAAGUCCAUCAAUGAGUACGGUUGUACUAACAUGGCCCAAGGAGGGUGAAAGGCCCGUAAGAGUGGAGUUCUGGUAUGACAGUGUCUCUCUGGAUUGACCUUGGAGUCGGGUUGUUUGGGAAUGCAGCCCAAAGCGGGUGGUAAACUCCAUCCAAGGCUAAAUACAAGCACGAGUCCGAUAGCGAACAAGUACCGUGAGGGAAAGUUGAAAAGUACUUUGAAGAGAGAGUAAACAGUGCGUGAAACCGCUUAGAGGUAAACGGGUGGAGUUGAACUGCAAUCUCUGAGAAUUCAGCUGGGGAAUUUUGCUUGAGCUUGGUCAAUUGGGCAGGACCUCGAGGUAUGCUUACUUGCAUGUUCUGGCCUUCGGGCUGGGAUGCGCGUUGCUCUUAUCAAGGGCUGCGCGCCUCGGGUGUUCGGCUGGCUCAUUCGCCAGUGCACUUUCUUGGAGUGAUCACCACGACCGGCGCUGCUGCUUCGCUGUUAUAGUUAAAUCGGACAUUCUUCGUCCUUGUGGCGUUGGGUGGUCGACACGGCAGGUAACUGGGGACAUGCUUCGGCUUGUUGCCCGGUGUAUGCUGGCUUUAACGGGUUCUAUGCAGUGUGUCGGAGACGGCGGUCUGUGGUGUGUGCAUGCGUGCCUAUCUGUUGGCAUAUUCUGGUUUGGUAGCUGUGUGCUUGUUCAAGCAAGCCCAGUUAUAGCUGGAGUGUGUCAGUGGGUGGUUGCGUGUGUGACACUAUUCAGGGCCAACAGUCUGUGGUGUUGUGGUAGACUAUCCACCUGACCCGUCUUGAAACACGGACCAAGGAGAGUAACAUGUGCGCGAGUCAAUGGGCGUAACGAAACCCAAAGGCGCAGUGAAAGUAAAGGUUUGGCUUGUCCAGACUAAGGUGAGAUCUUGUCGUUAUUCAUGCGCGGUACCACCAAGCUUGGAGCGGCAGGCGCAUCACCGGCCCGUCCCAUGACGUGGUCACAUUCUUCGGAUUGUGCGCCGUCGGGGCGGUGCAUGAGCGUACAUGUUGAGACCCGAAAGAUGGUGAACUAUGCUUGCGCAGGUUGAAGCCAGAGGAAACUCUGGUGGAGGACCGCAGCGAUUCUGACGUGCAAAUCGAUCGUCAAACGUGAGUAUAGGGGCGAAAGACUAAUCGAACCAUCUAGUAGCUGGUUCCCUCCGAAGUUUCCCUCAGGAUAGCUGGCGUUCUGAGAAAUAAACAGUUUUAUCCGGUAAAGCGAAUGAUUAGAGGCCUUGGUGGCGAAACGCUGUCAACCUAUUCUCAAACUUUAAAUGGGUGAGAAGCUUAACUCGCUUGAUUGGAGUUAUGCAUUGAAUGUGAGUGCCAAGUGGGCCAUUUUUGGUAAGCAGAACUGGCGCUGUGGGAUGAACCAAACGUUCGGUUAAGGUGCCUAACACGACGCUCAUCAGAUACCACAAAAGGUGUUGGUUGGUCUAGACAGCAGGACGGUGGCCAUGGAAGUUGGAAACCGCUAAGGAGUGUGUAACAACUCACCUGCCGAAUCAACCAGCCCUGAAAAUGGAUGGCGCUGGA